AUUUCUUCGGAUUGAAGCAAUUGUGACUGAGCGGCGGACGGGUGAGUAACGCGUGGGUAACCUGCCUCAUACAGGGGGAUAACAGUUAGAAAUGACUGCUAAUACCGCAUAAGACCACAGCACCGCAUGGUGCGGGGGUAAAAACUCCGGUGGUGUGAGAUGGACCCGCGUCUGAUUAGCUAGUUGGCAGGGUAACGGCCUACCAAGGCGACGAUCAGUAGCCGACCUGAGAGGAUGAACGGCCACACUGGAACUGAGACACGGCCCAAACUCC
rnacentral:rRNA from 1 species